UAACCAGUGGGAGCUGAAGUCUUCCGUUUCUUCACAGAGGAAACAUGACAAAGGCAGUGGCCGUACUCGCUUCCUUCAUGGCCGCCCUCCCCACUGCCUCAUCCAGUGAGUGGGAGCAGCUACUUCUGGAGGUGAGAGGGAGGGAGGAUGUCCUCCAGAACCCGUGGGGCCCGCCUAGCUGCA
rnacentral:sRNA from 1 species